AGGAUAAACGCUGGCGGCGUGCAUGAGACAUGCAAGUCGAACGGACACUCGGGGCUUGCUCCGAGUGUUAGUGGCGGACGGCUGAGUAACGCGUAGGUGACCUGCCCCGAAGUGGGGAAUAACUGCCCGAAAGGGUGGCUAAUACCGCAUGUGGUGGAACGUUCAUUCGUUCCAGUAAAGCCGCAAGGCGCUUCGGGAGGGGCCUGCGUCCGAUUAGCUCGUUGGUGGGGUAACGGCUCACCAAGGCGACGAUCGGUAGGUGGUCUGAGAGGACGAUCACCCAGACUGGGACUGAGACACGGCCCAGACUCCUACGGGAGGCAGCAGUCGGGAAUUUUGCGCAAUGGACGAAAGUCUGACGCAGCAACGCCGCGUGAGGGAUGACGGCCUUCGGGUUGUAACCUCUUUUAUCAGGACGAUAAUGACGGUACCUGAUGAAUAAGUCGACGGCUAACUACGUGCCAGCAGCCGC
rnacentral:rRNA from 1 species